AUUGAACGCUGGCGGCAUGCCUUACACAUGCAAGUCGAACGGGUAACAGGUCUUCGGAUGCUGACGAGUGGCGAACGGGUGAGUAAUACAUCGGAACGUGCCCGAUCGUGGGGAUAACGGAGCGAAAGCUUUGCUAAUACCGCAUACGAUCUACGGAUGAAAGCGGGGGAUCUUCGGACCUUGCGUUAUUCGAGCGGCCGACGUCUGAUUAGCUAGUUGGUGGGGUAAUGGCCUACCAAGCCGACGAUCCAUAGCUGGUUUGAGAGGAUGGAUCAGCCACACUGGGACUGAGACACGGACCAGACUCCUACGGGAGGCAGCAGGUGAGGAAUAUUGGUCAAUGGACGCAAGUCUGAACCCAGCCACGUCGCGUGAAGGAAGACGGGCCCUACGGGGUUGUAAACUUCUUUUAUACGGGAAUAAAGUGCCCCACGCGUGGGGUUUUGCAUGUACCGUAUGAAUAAGGAUCGGCUAACUCCCGUGCCAGCAGCCGCGGUAAGUA
rnacentral:rRNA from 1 species